ensembl:lncRNA
AGUGGCUCUACCCUUUGAACUGCCCGCCCCGGGCCGGGCCCCAGGAACGUAUGAGAGUUCUCGUUGCUCUAUGACCUCAUCAGCAUUUGGUGGUGUCAGUGUUGUGGAUUUUGGCCAUUCUAAUAGGAGUAUAGUGGUAUCUUGUUUUAAUUUGCAUUUCCCUGAUGAUAUCUAAUGUGGAGCAUCUUUUCAUGUGCUUAUUUUCCAUCUGUGUAUCUUCUUUGGUGAGGUAUCUGUUAAGGUCUUUGGCCUAUUUUUAAAUUGAGCUGUUCGUUUUUUAUUGUUGAGUUUUAACUGUUCUUUGUAUAUUUUGGAUAACAGUCCUUUAUCUAUAUCUUGUAAAUAUUUUCUCCCAGUCUGAGUUGUCUUUCAUUCUCUUGAACUCUUUCUUAUUUUCAUUGCAAUUUGUUGAAAAAACUAGGUUGUUUGUCCUACAAAGUUUCCCAUAUCAUGGGUUUUGCUAAUUGCAUCCCUGUGGUGGUGUUUAAUAUGUAUCACUGUUUUGUUUUGGUUUUGGUAAAUUGAUAGUAAGAUCUAGAGGCUUCACCAGGUUCAGAUUUUAACAUUUUGUUUUUAUUUUGCAAGAAUAGUUCAUAAGUGGUGUAUACUUCAAUCAGGAGGCAUAUAUGUCUAGUGUCUGUUACUAUCAGCCAUUUGUUGACCGUCACCUAGACUCAUCAUUUUAAUAGGGGUUACAAAAUAGUGAUGUUUUUAUUUGGCUAGAAUACUUACCUAAAGAAAGAUUUCCCCUCAUCAACUAUGUGGGUACCUUGAGGUAUAGUUCAUCCAGGAGAGUCACAAAAAAUACUUGAUUCUUUCCCUUUAUUUACCAGUUUUCGAUAUAAUGAGUAGAUUCCCUAGCAUCCUCCAAACGUGACAAUGAAGUUUGUUUUGUUUUUUAAAGUACUGUCAACUCUUGGAUUUAAACACCUUUGAUGGUUUUCAGUCCACUGAAAUUAUUAUCCUUAUCAAAGCUCACAUUGUCCCAUUUCUGGCCAGUGGAAGCCUCUCUUCAAUUUUAGCUCUUGAGUCCUGUUUAUACAACCCCAGUCAUCUUUGAUAGCUUCCUUGCUUUCUGGUAUAACAAGAUGUCCCAUCCCUGAACCCACCAUUUCUCUAAAUAGCUGAGGAGAUGAGUUUUAAUCAGGAGCUUGUCUGGUUUUACCUGCCAACCUCAUCCUUGCCCAUAAACCUUCGUUAAUUCAAUUGCUGAUCAUUUUCUGCAGUUCCAGGGCAAGCUUCUGUGGCCACCUUGAGAGGCAGGGAUACCUACUGCUCUUGUUACUGAACCGGGUUUGUUUUUGCCCACCGCCCAGAAAGCCAAACACCGAGACGACAAGAUUGCAACAGAGAGAGAGUUUACUCACAAGGCAGCCACGUGAGCAAAAAAAAAAAGGAAAAGAAAAAGAACACCCAUCUCCCCUCAUGAAGCAGCAGCAUUUGUAGGCACAGUGUGGUCUAAAUCCAUUCUUGGAAAAUAAAUUUACCAAAGGAAACAUUCUGCAUGCAGAGAGGGGACAGCCCUGUUGUUAACUCUGGUGCACUCCGCUUCAGCGGCCCGGGUUCGCUGGUUCAGAUCCCAGACGUGGACCUACACCACUUGUCAAGCCAGGCUGUGGUGGUGAUCCACAUAAAAAAGAGAGGAGGAUUGACACAGAUCUGUAUCUUCCUCAAGCAAAAAAUGAGGAAGAUUGACAACAGAUGUUGGCUCAGAGAGAAUCUUCCUCACCAAAGAAAAAAAAUUGCUUUCCAGAAAGAUAUAUCAAUUUAUAUUUUCACCAUCAGCAUUCUAUUAGUACAACUGAGGAGGGGCAUCUUUUUACACAGUUAAUGGCCAUUUAUUUUUCUUCUGUGAAUUGCCUUCUCCUUUCUACCUAUUUUUCUAUUGUGUUAUUUGGUUUUUCCUUAUAUUUUUGUAAAAGUUCAUGCAUCUGUUCAUUAAUUCAUUAAGC